UCAAUAAGCGGAGGAAAAGAAACUAACAAGGAUUCCCCUAGUAACGGCGAGUGAAGCGGGAAGAGCUCAAAUUUGUAAUCUGGCCGUUUCGCGGUCCGAGUUGUAAGCUAAAGAAGUGUUAUCCGCGCCGGACCACCUAUGAGUCUGUUGGAAUAUAGCGUCAUAGAGGGUGAGAACCCCGUUCAUGAUGUGGACUACCGGUGCUUUGUGUUACACUUUCGAAGAGUCGAGUUGUUUGGGAAUGCAGCUCAAAUUGGGUGGUAAAUUCCAUCUAAAGCUAAAUAUUGGUGGGAGACCGAUAGCGAACAAGUACCGUGAGGGAAAGAUGAAAAGCACUUUGGAAAGAGAGUCAAAUAGUACGUGAAAUUGUUGAAAGGGAAACGCUUGAAGUCAGACGUGCUUGCGGGGUUCAGCCUCUGGGUGUAUUCCUCCGCUUUGCAGGCUAGCAUCGGUUCUGCCGUCUGGAUAAGGGCUUGGGGAAGGUGGCACCUCCGGGUGUGUUAUAGCCCCUCGCUUGAUGCAGUCGGUGGGACCGAGGAUCGCAGCGCGCCCUUGUGGCAUUGGCCUCGGCCUUUCCGCGCUUAGGAUGCUGGUGUAAUGGCUUUAAACGACCGUCUUGAAACACGG
rnacentral:rRNA from 1 species